GACGAACGCUGGCGGCGUGCCUAAUACAUGCAAGUAGAACGCUGAAGGAGGAGCUUGCUCUUCUGGAUGAGUUGCGAACGGGUGAGUAACGCGUAGGUAACCUGCCUGGUAGCGGGGGAUAACUAUUGGAAACGAUAGCUAAAACCGCAUAAGAGUAGAUGUUGCAUGACAUUUGCUUAAAAGGUGCAAUUGCAUCACUACCAGAUGGACCUGCGUUGUAUUAGCUAGUUGGUGGGGUAACGGCUCACCAAGGCGACGAUACAUAGCCGACCUGAGAGGGUGAUCGGCCACACUGGGACUGAGACACGGCCCAGACUCCUACGGGAGGCAGCAGUAGGGAAUCUUCGGCAAUGGACGGAAGUCUGACCGAGCAACGCCGCGUGAGUGAAGAAGGUUUUCGGAUCGUAAAGCUCUGUUGUAAGAGAAGAACGAGUGUGAGAGUGGAAAGUUCACACUGUGACGGUAGCUUACCAGAAAGGGACGGCUAACUACGUG
rnacentral:rRNA from 1 species